UACAGAGGUCCCAAGCGUUGUUCGGAUUCACUGGGCGUAAAGGGUGCGUAGGUGGUGAGGUAAGUCCGAUGUGAAAGCUCCGAGCUCAACUCGGAAAUUGCAUUAGAAACUACCUUGCUAGAGGGUUGGAGAGGGUAGCGGAAUUCACGGUGUAGCAGUGAAAUGCGUAGAUAUCGUGAGGAACACCAGAGGCGAAGGCGGCUACCUGGACAAUUGCUGACGCUCAGGCACGAAAGCGUGGGGAGCAAAAGGG
rnacentral:rRNA from 1 species